rnacentral:ncRNA from 1 species
UCGGGAUCGGCACGGCUCCCGGUGUCCCAAGACGGUGUCCCGUCCAAGCGCUGC